ensembl:snRNA U4 U4 spliceosomal RNA
AGCUUUGCGCAGUGGCGGUAUCAUAGCCAAUGAGGUUUAUCCGAGGUGUGAUUAUUGCUAAUAGGAGGGGUAUCCAAUUUAUAUUUGAAGUUGAAGACAAGAAUCCAUAUCCCAGAAAUUUUAUGCCAGCGUUCUGAGGC